rnacentral:lncRNA from 1 species
AUGUUACAGUUCUCCAUGUGUGUCUGUGGUUCCACAGAUAGAACUCAGGCCAUCUUUGAAGUUCCAGCCUCUGAAACAAACUGCAAACCAAGCAGAGUGCUAUUAAGCACCGUGCUCUCCAAGAGGAUCAGUUUAGUAAAAGCUCUUCCCCGCCCAAUAAAAUCGAGAACCCGGCUGCGCCCUGGCAUUGACUGAUCUCCUGGCUCUGGUGUGGUUCCUUUGCCGCGAUACUCAUCAUCCUGCUAGGCCCCUGAGCUCCCCAGGCUGGCCCUGAGGAGAUCUAUCAGACCUGCUGCCCCAGGAUGAGCAGCACUAUGUACCAUUGGAUCUUCUUAAAUAAUUCUAUGUGACAGGUACUAUUAACCACUUUACAAGUGUGUGGUUUUUCUACUUACUGCUUGUUGAAUUCUUUACUUAGUGUGAUUAGCAAGUUAACUGAAAGUAUAUCAUCAUAAAAAUAAAAUGAAAAAUAGGAAAGGAAGGAAAAGUGAA